rnacentral:misc_RNA from 1 species
AACCUAGCACACCUGCGGUGUGUACCUGCGGAAGGAUCAUUACAAGUGACCCCGGUCUAACCACCGGGAUGUUCAUAACCCUUUGUUGUCCGACUCUGUUGCCUCCGGGGCGACCCUGCCUUCGGGCGGGGGCUCCGGGUGGACACUUCAAACUCUUGCGUAACUUUGCAGUCUGAGUAAAUUUAAUUAAUAAAUUAAAACUUUCAGCAACGGAUCU